rnacentral:tRNA from 2 species
GGGCCGUUAGCUCAGUUGGUAGAGCAGCUGACUCUUAAUCAGUAGGUCGUAGGUUCGAGCCCUACACGGCCCACCA